GCUGCGCAGGCGCACUGGAGCUGUUGCGUCGCGACGGCGCAGACAGUGACAUCAUCAGAUGGUGCAGGCAAGGGCCACGUGGAAGACCGACAAAGAAAGACUGAACAAGUAUAUUUGCUGUGUGCACAAAAAAGAUUUCUAGGUGGCUUUGCGUUCUUUUCUUUCGAGAUGGUGCUGACGCAAGCGUGUUACGCUGCGGUGGACUUUUCAGCGAGCCGAUGCCCUCCAGGCUUCCUCCGAGGAACUCAUCCCGAGCGACAUGGAGAAGGUCUGGAUCACCAAUGGCAGACUGACUUGGAGUGCUGUUUGCAAAGACUGAGGAAUUGGAUUCUGACAACUCAGUCAAAGGCAGACACAGAAAUGUACAACUUGGGUAGAGUCACUAAUGGAAGCCUAAAGAUAGGCCUUUAAGGCUUCAGCUGUAAGUUUGUGUGUGUGUGUGGGGGGGGUUCAGACAGGCUGAACGAACCUGUGUUGCUUCUUCCAAAUUUCAAGAUAGAAUGAUAUUUAAUUGUUUUGGGUUUCAUUAAACAUUUUAGUAAAAGCAUAUUGAGGAUACAGCAGACACCAUGGUAAUAAAGGGGAGUGCUUUGAAAAUGCUAUUCCACAGACAGAAAGUAUAGCUCUCAGUGUGUUGAGCUGUGGUGAAUUCAGGGGCAGUGCACUUGAUGAAGAUUUCAGCCUUGUUGGUGAGGGCAGCAGCAGCCACCAGAAAGGGCAGCACAGCAGAUGUCCUAGUUAACUGCUGUGACAGGCCACCCUGGGAUUCCUGCCUGAAAUCUUCCUCUUACUCCCUCUUCUGCACACCUACACCUCCGUUUGUCCCUGGUUUGUUCAGUUCAGUUGAGCACAGGGUCCUCAGUGUUGCCACCUUCUGCCUUUGGCACGUCCAUGGCCACUGCUGUGUGCUCAUUGUAUUUAGGGACCCUGCUCUCAGGAGAGUAUGCAUUUCCAUGUCAGUUGCUUGGGAUCAUAGCUCCCUCUACUGUAGGAAAUGCUGUUCUCUCUAGCUUGAUCCCUAUCUAAUCAUUUCUGUUGUGUUGCCUUGAAAAAGCCUGACAGCCCUUAAUAAAAAUAUUCUCUGCCUCUUCCA